CAGGCAGGUCACACAGCUUGCUCAGUGAUAGGCCAGCAUGUUAGGGCAGGGGCAGCUCAGCUGUGGGAGGGCACAGGUGGUUCAAGCGGGUACCUGUGGGACUGCUCCAACCCUGUUCCGUGGGUGCACUCAGCCUCACUUGGCUUAGGUUCCUCAAGUCCCUUUGUCCGGCCACCUCUUGCUCCUGUACUCCAGCCAGCUCAGCCUCCCCCCUCUCCCUGUCCCUCCGGGUUGCCUAACCAUCAGCAUCACCAAGUCACAGUGCGCUCUGCACUGCGGGUUCCCAGUCAGCCCAAGCUUGAAGGAGGUGUCAGGACGUCUCUCCUCAUCAUCACACUUGCCCCUGAGACAUGGGGACACUGAGCCCCACAUCCAGUCCCCCAGGAUCCAGAUGCCAAAGUCGCCAAGAUAAGCAACUGGAUCCUGCCAUUGUUUCCUGGAAGGCGGAGGAAGGGGAAGCCUGCAGCCCAGGCUCCCUGCUCAGCGCCCCGGCGUCCUGGGCAGUCUGCCCUCUGCUAGGGUCUCGGCUGGCGUUUGUGUCAGGAAAGUAAACCGUAAACGUGGACGGCCACACACUGUUGCUAAGGAAGGCGCUGCUUAUAGCUGGGGGUGCUGGAGGACUUGCACAUCUCCUCUGUCUUUAACUCUUCUCCUUCAGGGAGGCUGUCCCCAUCCCCUGAACACUCUAGGUCACUUCCUGGACAAUCCGGGUACAGCAACCGACACAGCCCCCACCCCAGGUGACCUCAACACCGCGUCUCACUGGAGUGCUACUUCUCAGGGUCUGCGGGGCUUCCCUCUGCUUUCUGUCACUGACUGGUCCUGAUGAUGGCUGUCAACAGCAGGGGGUGACCGUAACUCCUUCAGGUCCCCAGGUCAUCAGGACUCCUACCUCAGCCUCCCCCCAUGACUGGCAGGUGGGUCCCAGGAGGCCCCAGCCCCAUGGCUGAACCCCCCUCCGUGACACUGACAGUAGAUGUAAGAAGGGGUGGGCUCCAUUCUGCUGACGAUGCCACUUCAGGCAUGAGGCCUCUCUGCUCCCUGUGCGUUGAAGUGAUUUCUAGCUUUAGGAACAGAAGGGAACAAGGAUAUGGCCACCUGCGUCCAGGGUCAAAGGGGCCAAAGAGUCCUCCUCCACAGGGAGGAGCUCUCCAAGGGGCACUGUCAGCAGGGAAGGGAGCAGUCCCAGGGCAGAAACCCUCUGUGUAUGCUCUACCGGAUGCAUCACGUGUCCUCUGGGCUGAGCUUGUCUCGUCUGCACUUCACCCAUCUGGGCUCAACUUAGACCCUUCAUCCUUCUUUGGUCAGAUGUGGGCUUGAACCCUAGUUCCCUCAUCAGAGCUGUCUGUCCGGCCUCUGUUUCCACAUCUGUAAGAUGGGCAUUCAUGCUGUUACUGUGAAGAUACACUGAAAGCCUGCCACACAAGAUGGGGCAUGGACUAUGUAAGGGAAUUCACCCGAAUAAAAUAAUAAAGUCUUUCUGUACAAGAUGCUCCCUGAGCUGUGGCUCAUCAGGGGUAAUAACUGAGAACAACCCGUGUGCUUGGCACCAGGGGAACUCUGACAGCAGCUCACAUUGUGGGGCACCAGUAUGUGGUCCCCCAAGUGAUCACUGAGGCAGGCAGAUCUUCAGUCACAUGGAUGAGCGCUCAUGGGUUUGAAUUCCUAGGAAGCAGAUUACAGGAUUUCUUUAGCAGAUGCUUGUAGCUCAACACUGCUUUCCUGCUGUGACCUCACAGGGGUCUCCUCCUGCCUGCACCCGGGGCCAGGCUUCAGUCAUAGCCCCUGUGGAGCCAUCUGGGGAGACCAGGAGGGCACAGCUAUGUGGGGCUGCACUGGCAGAGUCUUCGAGGAUAGAAACAGUCCUGGAGCUCAGACAGUGCUGGGCACGGCUGCCACUGGCCUCUGGGACUGAGGGAGGGGAGAUGUGAGAGGCUGUGGACCAACAGGGGACAGCGUAAUAGAGCAGGGAGAGAAAAGGCCACAGAAUGAAGACAG
ensembl:lncRNA